rnacentral:rRNA from 1 species
AUGAUGAAGCUGAGGUGCCCCAACCCCAAGAAGCUCUUCAGGAGGAGCUCCUCCAAGAUCAGCAGGUCUAGUAGCAGCUGCAGCAGCAGCAGCAGCGACAACGGCAGCGACGCCGGAGGCAUUCGGGGUGGCGGCGGCAGCGGGGAGAUCGAGUGGGAGGUGCGGCCGGGGGGCAUGCUGGUGCAGAGGAGGGACGGAAGGGGGGACGUCGAGAUCAUCACCGUCAGGGUAGCCACCGGCUACUCCUGGCACGAGGUCUCCAUUGGAGCCACCUGCACUUUUGGUGAGAAAAAAGUCAGCACGUCCCUGUUCACACAGCCAGAAGCUCUCAAUUUUACUUCCAUUUCUCCAAGUCGAGUGGUUGACCCGUGCGAGCUCCUGAACCUUCUUAUGGUGAUGUGGAGAUAUGCACGUCCAUUAGCAAGGUCUCCUGCCCUCAAGGACAUCAAGCUCCGAGCCGCGCUCGCUGCCCAGGGCGUGCAGAGCCCGUAUCAGACUUUUAUCAAGGUGUAG